rnacentral:tmRNA from 1 species
CCCCUUGCCAGAUGCCCCGGCGCUCCCUAUGUUCGGUAGUGCCGGAGGGGCUUGCCCCUUGGCUAUGGCGAUAAACGGCGCGUGGAAUAAGUGUUGUGGACCCGGGGGCGGUACCCGGCGUCUCCACCAUUUUCCCCCCUUGGGGAAUACGGGGACGAAACAGGCUCGACACGCAUGGUAAAGACCCGCCUUUUGCCCGGCAUUGUACCACCGUUAUCGGGCUAAAUCACAAGUGCCAACGAUAACUCUGAGGUGCUCGCUGUCGCUGCAUAAGCGAUAAGCGCGGUUCGGGAGGGCACCGGGCAACAGAAGCCCUCCCACU